AUUGCCCCUAGAGGUGUUACAGGCGUGGCCGUGGUUUCACGUCUGUGUCAUUAGGCGGCAUAGAGGGAACGUGGCUGCGUCUACGCUCGGUGCCCAGCAUGUGGGUGCUAGGAAUGAUUACCAGCCAGACACC